AACGUAGGUGGCAAGCGUUAUCCGGAUUUACUGGGCGUAAAGGGUGUGCAGGCGGGGCUGUAAGUGGGGUAUGAAAUCUCCAGGCUUAACCUGGAGGGGUUAUGCCAGACUGCAGUUCUAGAGGGCGAGAGAGGGGGGUGGAAUUCCGGGUGUAGUGGUGAAAUGCGUAGAUAACGGGAGGAACACCUGUGGCGAAAGCGGCGCACUGGACCAUAACUGACGCUGAGGCGCGAAAGCUAGGGGAGCAAACAGG
rnacentral:rRNA from 1 species